CGCGCGCGCGCGUCCGCGCCCGGACCGUCUGCCUCGGCUGCUCGCUCUCUUGCUUCCUGCCUCACGCCACGGUCCUGUUCCUUUCCACUGGUUCCUUCCCGCCCGCCUCCCUUGCCGGCCCUCAGGAAGAACUCCCGAACCUGGAACACAGUGGCCCUUCUAAUCCCUCAACUCCUAAAUCACGUAACAUCAGCAUCGCUCACAAUCACCAGUGUUCAUCUGAUCUCAAGCACUGUACGUGAGCUGGCGCACAUACCAGGCUCAGCUCAGAGAAUCUAAGUUUGUGGAGGGCAAGGAAGUUGUUCCACAAUGUCAUAAAUAGCUAUUUGGCUGAAUUCCUCAAUCCUUCCCUCCUGUGGCUCUCCUGUGACGCUAAACUUCAGUUUCCAUGACGGUUGUGGCAAAAUAUCAACACUGGAUGAGUACAAAGGCCCACAUUUGGCAGCUGUCUCAUGCACCCAUUGCCUAUUCAUCACCAAAACCUACAGAGCUCCAAGUGCCAUUCACAGCAGACAGUGCUGAGACCCUCUGCUCCAGUAGAAGGGCGGAUACAUAAUGAGCAACCACAAAGCGAUGGGACAGAGGCCGUAAUACCAGCUGAAAGUUGGAAGAUGUGACAUCCUUCUUCAUUGCUUAAUUAAAACUCAGAACAAAAUGCUUUUAGGGAUCAAGGGGCUAAAUGACCUGGGAUUGUGUAGUAAUAAGUGUUGUAGUUACUCAUUACACCCCAACGAA